rnacentral:lncRNA from 1 species
GCCUCCCCGUUCGCCUCCCAGAGGCCGCCACUUUCUUCAGGGCUAUCAGAUGAAGGCAGCAACGAAAACACCACCACAAGACCAACUUCAGGCUGGAGCUGAUGAUGCCACACAGGGGCUUCCUGGAGCUCCUGCAACCCCAGGCAUUAGUUCCGGUGCAGUUCUAGGAUCAGAUCAAUUCACUCGACAACAAGAGAAACAAAUGGAGAUUCCUACACAAAGACUUUCAAGCACAAAGAAAUCCUGCUGCCUGUAAAGCGGAGCUGCCUCAGCCCUUGAUGAACGACAGAAAAUACCACCUACUGCCAGACCUCAACGCCUCACAAAACUCUCACCCACCUACUGCUUUUAGCUCACAUUCCAGGAAUUCAGAUGAAGUGAAGUGCUCUCAUGGGGACCAGGCAUGGUUAUGCCAGUCCACUGCCCUGCAAGCCUCAAGGGAAGCCAACUGCCCUUCAGCAAGUCACACCUGCCUUGGUGGAGGCCUUGAUUGGAAGUGCCACACGCUACAUGUCCAGUCCUGAGCGGGAGAAUCGGUGUAGGGACGUUCUGGGGAUGCCAGCUGUGGCCAGAUCAGGUCCAACUACAGAAGAAUAAUGAAGACUCCACCUGAGGGCUGGAAAAACAAAACCUCAAGUGUGAGGCAGCCAACCUGUUACCUCGAGGGACUGUUCCGCAGCACAGCGGGGCCAUGGGAACAGCAGCAGACACCCCGACCUCCUCGCUACCUGUAUCAACUAUGGCCUGAGUAUGAUAGACUUAUCCAUGGUUUAAACAGAAUAUAUUGUUUUCAACUUUGAAAAUAAGAAUAUGGAAAUCCAGAUGCAGAAAUGUGAGAAGAAAAGAGAGUAAACAGAGUGGAAGGUCAGGUGACCUUGCCUGUCAUGAAUAUGAAGGUCAAGGUGUGUGAAUUGUGAAAUUUCCAAGAGAACCUCACUGAAGCAAAGAAUGAAGAAAGAAUUGCAUUUGGCCCUGGGAGGGUGCAGGGGUGAAUGGUGCAGGAGCUAAAUCUUUAUCAUACCCAGAAAUCAACAGCCACUAUUUGAAAUCAUCUAAAUUCGUGCUGCUAACCUUCAGUGUACACACGAAUCACCUGGGGAUCUUACUAAAAGCUAGUUUCUGAUUCACUAAAUCUGUGUGUGGUGGAAGUUGAGGGCAGAGAAGCUCCCGAGGGUGUCAAGCUGACUCUGAACCCGACUUUGAGGGUUAAGGUCCCAAAUGGCAUCGCCAGCACCAGGGACAGACACUAAAAUUGUAGAAAUCGUCUCAAGAAAUGAACAGCCUCUAAGUCAGAUGUUGAAUGUGAAAGAAAUCAGGGUGUGUACGUGUGUGUGCAUUUGUGUGUGCACGUGUGUGCCUGUGUUUGUCUCUGUGCAUGUAUGUUUCUAUGUGUGCACAUGUGUGUAUGUGUCUGUACAUGUGUGUUUCUGUGUGUGUGCCUGUGUGUGUAUUGGCUUAGAUCUGUUCGAGACUUUUUAUUUGAUGAGAUCGAUAUAUGCCACCACUUUUGGAAAGGACAACGUAUAUACAAAGACAAUGAUUACUUAUGUAAUGUGAACGGAGUCUCUCUUCGAC